ensembl:lncRNA
GUAUUUUCAGGUUUUUUUCCAGCUCCAACUAACUCCAUUGCUUGAGUAGAAUGGCCACCACUGAUGUGGAUCAGGAAGGACAAGUUCUAUGGCUUCAAGCCUGUCUGAUGGAAACCUUAAAGGCACAAGAACAGGCUGUUCCUGAAUGCUGUAAGGCGAGCCGAAGGGGAAGAAGACCGGUGUGGAUGAAGCAGGAACUACUGUUGAUACUCUGGGAAGAAAAGGAGUCUAUUUCCUCCAGAAGAAGGGAUAGGCUACUUGGGGAGAUUACAAAGAAGUUGCUAAGAAACAGCUCAUAGCACACAAAGGAGGAGUUACCGGUCAGUUUUUGUGCUGGAAGAUCACCGUGGGGGUCCACAGGGAUGUAUUCAUCAGUGAAGUGAGAAAGAGAACGAAUGGUGAAGUGACACAGUUUGCUAAGUUAUUCACCAUAACAAAGACAUAGUGAAAGCAAGUGGCACUGGACUGAACAACAGAGAAGUCUUAUAAAUCUGUAAGUCACAAGUAAAUUGCUUAGCACCACUUUGGGCCUAAACUCUUGCAUCUUGACUGCUCUGCUCUUUUUAAUCCAGGAUAAGUUGAAGAAGAAACAAGACUAAGUUACAAACAAGCUUUUUAAGACAGGAUGAGCUUGCAUUCAUUGUAUGAGUUCGUGAGCUUGCAUAAGUGACACUGUGCUGUAGAAUGAUUCCAGACUUAUGAGGGAGCCAUUGAUUAUACAGCUCUUUUGGUUUUCUGAGUACUUUAAUGAUGCUUUGCUUUUUGAAGAAGCUGCAACUUAAAAUAAAGCCCGUUUUCGAUUUAUGCAGUUGUUACAUUUCCACCAUGGGAAUACAGAGCACCACAAAGCAUGGAACCCAGAUCCUUUCAGUCCUGCCUCCUCCCUUCUAGCCUGGAACUGAGCAUGCCACUGGGAAGCAGCCUCCGCUACCCAGGAGCCUCUUCCAGCACCCAGUCUUACAAUUACUGGAUUUUUCAAGACAAAAAGACACCUAUCUAUCCCUGUAUGGGAACUGUUGAAUCAUGGCCUGAACCUCUGAUUGACUAUCAGAGGCAAGCACUGAGUCAGCCACAGGGGCACAGGUGAAUGCAAUUUCACCUGAGUGACCGAAAGGGUCACUCCACCCCUCCUAGACCCCAUUUAAGGGCUGACUCCCAAGGAGGAAGGAUCUCUAUCUGAAGAUUGCUCCUCUUGGAGUCCUUCCACAAGCCCAGGGCACAGGUAAGCUCUUUAUUUCAUUGCUCCUUUGUAAUGUGAUAAUCUCUCUCGACCUGUAUACCUAUUUACCUUACAAUCUGUAUACCUAUUUGCCAUACAAUCCUGUUUCAAGGAGGUCAAGUGUCAGACCACAACACUGGAAGACACGCAGAGAAGGAGAAUACUCAUUUGUACAUUUCAAUCUAAAAUGAAACAUCAAGGAUGACUAAGACAACCACCACAGGUCACAUUGGAGGACAAAGACAGCACACAGUCCAACAGCAACCCCUGGUCAGCCAACACCCAUCACAGGAACCACUACUUCUGCCAGCAGCUGUAAGGAAACAAAAAACAGUUGACAGUGCUCAAGAGGGACCUGGGAGGGUUCCAGAUUGUGUCACGUACUAGGCACACCCACCACAAGACCACAUGUCUUCCAUUCCAUCAGCACAGCUGCGUUUGGGGAAGAUUGGGCUAGAUGACUCUUAAGGGGGCAGGGGAGGGUGCACACUCCACAGCCUUCAGUGGAGUCCAACUCCAUUAUUGUAGCUCCUGAUCAAGUACACAAAGGCAGGACUGCCAUCCUUCCUCUCAGGCAUCAACUGCGCCAACACCUGGAUUGGAAGACAACAGUUGGGGGAUGCUAGGCCUCCCAUUCAGGGAGACCAAGGACUGCACCAGAACCCCCAACUCCCACAGAAAAAGACUGCUUUGGUGCACAGGCAGUGCUCCCCACGCUUCUCACUCUGUCAACAUCAUUCCUCCAGGAGAUCCUCUGCUACACACUGUCAGGACUAAAAGCAAAUCACAAUGCCACGCAACUGAGCCUCACCUCAGCCCCCCAGGAGCCAUCAACUCAAUCCCAAGGGAACUGCAUCCCAUCACUGAGAAAGCCACUUGUGGCAAGGAUCAACUGCUGUCUGACACACACCCAGCUGCAGCCCUCACUUGACAACAAAAGACAAGAAAAAAAAUCAGUACUCUGAUGUCAUCCCAAGGGAAACCAAUAUUAAACAGAGGGAGAAACGCCUCUUCAGCUUUAUGGAAUUCGAAGUCACGUCUUCUCUUUCUCGUUUCUUUCUGUUCACUAAACAAUUUUCAAAUUGAUGUACAGCUAAUGCAGAAAAAGAUGUCUUUUUCUUAUCUCUGAAAAGAAUAAUCUGAAACACAGACAAUAUUCAAAUGCUCAGGCUUGACUGUGACCUCAGUAUUCAUAUUAGUGGAGGCUUAUUCACCUUAUUAAAAUUAAUCCCGUG